rnacentral:rRNA from 1 species
GUCUACAGCCACGCUACCCUGAACAAGCCUGAUCCCCUCUGAUCUUGGAAGCUAAGCAGGGUUUGGCCUGGUUAGUACUUGGAUGGAAGACUACCUAGGAAGACCAGGUACGAUAGGCA